UAAAUUUGAAUAUACAUGUACAUUGUAUAUGAUUAUUUAGUUUUAAAAUAUAUGAGAUAGUUCACAUAGGCCUGUCCUUGUUGUUCUUUUAAGUAUAAAAAGAACAACAACAAAAACUAUAACAACAACAAACUGGUACAUGUUCUUAUUCAAGACUCCAAAUUUGCAGACAUUAUGAGUUAUUCUUCACUCUGUAAAGUUAAUUGUGUAUGAAAUAAACUCAUACAUUAAGCUCUCUCAAUCUAGUUUGUAAUAUAAAUGACCUGUUAAGUAGGAUAAAUAAAUAAACACUGCCUCUACUACUCUACAAUGAUUUUACACAACUGACUGAUUUUACACCUUGCACUGACCAGUCUGAUAAUGGUAACCACCUGUUUUCCCACCAUAAAUUCUGCUACAGUCCAGACUCUUCCAUUUGAUUUUUUCUGGGGGGAAACAACUUUAUAAAUUUUAAAUGAAGUCUGUUUAGAAGGAAAUUGCAAAGUUAUCUUUAAAAACUUAUUAUGAAUUUGAAAUUCUACAUUACACUUUUUUUUUCUCAUAUGUCUAUAUGAUUGUGAAAGUAAAAUGAAGGGUGCUUUGAUUUGUGGAAUAUCCCUGUUUAACAUUUAUAUGCAUGAUGAAUCAGUCCAGUUCUACAGUUGUAAAAUUUGAAAUCUGAGGUAUUUGUGGAAAUAGUGCUCAUGUAUCACAAAGGAUCUUAUUGAUAAUUAAGAAAUUGUGGAGAUAUAAGCAAUUUUCUAGGCAAUAUUUUGUAUAAAAUGUUUGGGUGUAAAUUCUUAAACUUUUCAAAGAAAAAAAUCAAGGCUACAGUCUUGUUAAUGAAAAUGACAAUAUUCUGGAUUAUGGGAUAUGCUGGUUGCAAAUGAAAUUUGAAUCUUGGACAAGAAGAUGAAAACCAGAAUCAUAAAAAAUCAGGUCACAGUACACCCCCCAGAGACGUUGAUCUACAUGAAACAAAGCAAAGGACUAAAACAGACAUGGUGAAGCUGCUUUAAACAGGAUCUUAAAUCACAAUGACAGGGACCAGUUAAGAAGAGAAAACACUUGCAAAGGCUUUAUUCCAAGUACCUAUAUAUGUAGACAUUAAUUUGGAAAAUACUGG